GUACUCACUUUGUAGCACAUUUACUGAUGUUGGAACAAUACAGAGAUUAGCCAUGGCCCUGCGCUAGGAUGACAUGCAGCUUCCUGAGGCGUUGCCUGUGGUU